UGGAACUGGAACCUGCUGCCGAACUGGAACUGGAACCUGCUGCCGGCAGGCCCAUUCUCGCAGAGGGUGUUGCUCAUGGUGGAGGAGAAGAACCCCUACGAGGUGAAGCUCGUCGACCUCGGCAACAAGCCCAAAUGGUCCGUCUCGCUCCCUCUCAACAUUCUGCAGCCUGCACGUGGUGUCUCACCAGUCACGACUGGUUUGGCAAAGUGCCACACUUCAUUUCUAGAGGUACGGUGACCUCACCUUGGUAGACCGGGAACAAGAUUCGAGAUAGGGAAAUUCUUUUCGGUUGUUUCCUUGUUUGCUUUGGAGAGUCUAAUGUGGAUGGUUUUUAGUGGAUUCAUUGGAUGCUGUAGAUUUUCCUGAUCUAACUGACUUGCAGCCUGUAACUGCACUGGGGGAAAAUCCACACAGAUUAGUCAUGAAUUCUAUACUAUUCAGCUCCCAUGUGUUAGUCCUUUUCUCAAUUGUCGCCUGCUAGAAAGAACAUACUGGAGCAUGGUGUUGGAGUGGAUAUGGGCUAACGUAAUUGGAGUGGACUCUAACAAGCACAUGGAAAAUUAGGCAAGGACUGCUAUUGUGUCUGCUGGACUCCCAUCAUCAAGCUUCACAUUCAGAAGAGGUUGUUGAAGCCUUGCCAGUAGAAGACAAUUCCAUAGAUGUGGUGAUCGGCACACAGAUCGUUCGAAUCACACCAACAUAAAUAAAGCGAGUCGUGAAGUCCAAUGGUCUCUACGUGUUCAUUGAACAUGCUGCCGCACCAGAUGAUACGUUGCUCCGCUUGGUUCAAGGUGUGCUUGAUCCCUCGCAGCAAUUUGUAGCCGACGGGUCUGAGCCUGGAUAGUGUCCGACUGUCAAAUGCCUACAUAAUUAGCCCUUAUGUUAUGGCGUAGCCUGCAAGUGAGGUAUUUCCUCUUUUGCCAUAUUUUAAAAUAGUUGCAAAUGAUGUCACGUGUCUUCCAUCAAUAAGCGGUUUGUGGAAUGUAAAGUUGUUUCAAAAGAAAAUAUUUUUUUGGUAACCAUUCCUUAAAAACUUCAUUCGUAAAACCCUUCAACAAGCCGACUAACUUGCAGCUAUAACUACAAUGGGAAAAAUCAGUUAUUCAUGAAUUAUAUACUAUUCAGUCCCCAUGUAUCCUGCUGAACUGAUCUCUCCGGUGAGCUUUUGUUGCUGAUCUGAGACAGCCAGGUGGGUUCCUCCUCAUAAGGUGUGUCAUCGGUUACACAUGGAUUUAAUAAUAUCCUACAUCAUUCUAUUAGUUCCUACUGAAUUAAAUAAAGACCACAAUGCCCAUAUGGACUCUGCUAAGGUAGAGAAGCAUGUGCGCACUACCGGUGGUGGAAGCCUGGUACUGUUAGGAAUUUGUGUUUCAGAGAAGACACGACAAAAUAUCUUUUGAAUCCUGAUGUCAACUCUACAUAAUAUGAUCCAAAAACCCGCUCCAUGAGGGAAGACCCCCCUGCCAGAUGUAGAUCCAAAAUGAUAAGUUCUACGUGCAACAACGCCUUUCACAAUGCUUCAAUAAGCUGAUAACGGAUGUCCACAGGAACUUGGAACCUAAGAAUCGUGAUAGAUUCACUCAAAACCUGAUAUCUUGCAUGAUGUAAAUACUCCAGUUGCCUUCUUUUUAGGAACCACCAUUUUGUGGGUUGAGAAAAGAAUAAAGUGUCCUUAGGUUUGCCAUGGAUUGGCUGAAGAUGGUAUUGCUGAUGCAUGUGCUGGUGAAAGCAGCUGUAAAUUUCGUAACAUGCCAUUUUAAUGUAAAUUUCAUAGCAUUUCAU